GGCUUAGAGUUUGAUCAUGGCUCAGAGUGAACGCUGGCGGCGUGCCUAAUACAUGCAAGUCGAACGAUGAAGCUUUUAGCUUGCUAGAAGUGGAUUAGUGGCGCACGGGUGAGUAAUGCAUAGGUUAUGUGCCCUUUAGUCUGGGAUAGCCACUGGAAACGGUGAUUAAUACUAGAUACUCCCUACGGGGGAAAGUUUUUCGCUAAAGGAUCAGCCUAUGUCCUAUCAGCUUGUUGGUGAGGUAAUGGCUCACCAAGGCUAUGACGGGUAUCCGGCCUGAGAGGGUGAUCGGACACACUGGAACUGAGACACGGUCCAGACUCCUACGGGAGGCAGCAGUAGGGAAUAUUGCUCAAUGGGGGAAACCCUGAAGCAGCAACGCCGCGUGGAGGAUGAAGGUUUUCGGAUUGUAAACUCCUUUUGUUAGAGAAGAUAAUGACGGUAUCUAACGAAUAAGCACCGGCUAACUCCGUGCCAGCAGCCGCGGUAAUACGGAGGGUGCAAGCGUUACUCGGAAUCACUGGGCGUAAAGAGCGCGUAGGCGGGGUAGUAAGUCAGAUGUGAAAUCCUAUGGCUUAACCAUAGAACUGCAUUUGAAACUACUACUCUAGAGUAUGGGAGAGGUAGGUGGAAUUCUUGGUGUAGGGGUAAAAUCCGUAGAGAUCAAGAGGAAUACUCAUUGCGAAGGCGACCUGCUGGAACAUUACUGACGCUGAUGCGCGAAAGCGUGNGGAGCAAACAGGAUUAGAUACCCUGGUAGUCCACGCCCUAAACGAUGAAUGCUAGUUGUUGUGAGGCUUGUCCUUGCAGUAAUGCAGCUAACGCAUUAAGCAUUCCCGCCUGGGAGUACGGUCGNCAGAUUAAACUNCAAGGAAUAGA
rnacentral:rRNA from 1 species